rnacentral:tRNA from 1 species
AAGAUUUUAAGUUAGCACCCUAAACUUUAAACCUUCAAAGUUUAAUAAAUAAUUAUUUUAUUAUAAAUCUUA